GGUCUUGUGGAAGAACAGCUGUUCUAUCCUUUCCGAGCUCACGAAGUGUAGAGAGGGCAGAAGAAGAAGAAGUUUCCCGAACCUAAACAGAGAGUGAAUAUGCUGACCAAGCAUCACCUGAGACUGGUCCUGAAGAUUCUCCACCUGCUCAGGAUCUUUGAGUCCACGGGUGUCUACUCCAUUGAGAGAGACAUCAAACAUCAGACAUCAAGGCCAUGUGUGCGGAGACCCACUUGAAUCAUUUGGCUUGCCUGGUUGAGUGUUGUCCGAAGUGGAUUGUCCUGAAGAGUCCACGAUAGAGGGGCGCAUGGUUAUCUUCGGCAGGUGUUUAUCCAUCAUCGAAGCCAGUGAGCUGUAUUCCUUCCAA